rnacentral:lncRNA from 1 species
AUGUCCUAUGACCACUAUGUGGCUAUCUGUAAGCCUCUGUUCUAUAUGGUCAUCAUGUCAAAAAGACUAUGCUGGGUGCUUGUAGUAAUCCCUUAUGUCUACUGUACAAUUGUGGCUCUUUUAAUCACAAUUAAGAUUUUCACUUUGUCUUUCUGUGGCUCCAAUGUCAUCAGUCAUUUCUACUGUGACAGUCUUCCUUUGUUAUCUUUGGUCUGCUCAAAUACACAAGAAAUUGAGGUGGUGUUGUUGUACUUAUCAGCUUUUAAUUUGAUUUCCUCUCUUCUGCUUGUUCUUGUGUCCUACCUGCUCAUUCUCAUAGCUAUUCUCAGGAUGAACUCUGCUGAGGGCAGGCGCAAGGCUUUCUCCACCUGA